GUUUGUACUAGGAUAUAUUAUAGAAAAAUAUCAUUGUAAGAUGCAAGCAGUCUCUCCCACUCUUUCUGUCCCAUGGCUAGUGGUAGAGAUUGUGGGGGCACAGAAAUGGAGGAAGCUUACUAGAAAGAAACUAUUUAGGGAUGGAGGUCGGUUCCAAGACGACACAUUCCAGACUCGAUUCUCUUAAAGAUGCUUAUUCUGGACCGAGAAGGGUCUUAACUUCAAAUGAGACCUUCCCCUUGUUCGUCUGUCUUGGCAGUGGGCCAAAGGUUAUAAACAUGAGGUUACAAGUUUUUGGAAGAGAGACAGAGGCAAAGUACCAUUUUCAUCACAUCCUAGCAAGGGAACAUUCUAUCAGCAUGACACCACAGUUGGUGUUGAACUUGGUCCCCUGACCAAGACCGGCUCAGAUCACAGACGGAAAGGCCAAAGCACAGUCCAGGCAUGACUCUUCACCUGUUCUGACGAUAUUUUCCAAGUAAAACCAGGCAUUGAGAGCAAGUCAGAGAUGCAUCAGGCGAUUAAUGAAGUUGAUUCAGCUUUUCCCACUUUUGCCCUCUGCUGAAAGCUACAGGUGGGGGUAAGAUUGACAACCAAUUCUGCAAGAGUCACGUCAUAUAGAGAGAGCACUGAGUGGAGAUGAGAAUGAUGGAAAGUGGAUGACGAAAUUUAACUUUUAGGACAAGCUUCACUGCUAAACAGCUGUGCUUUACAUAAACCAGUAGAUGCCUCUGAAACAUAGUUUCCUCAUUCCUCGAAUGAAUAUACAUUUUAUAUGUCUCAAAAUUAACGGAUUAAAAUGAGA
rnacentral:lncRNA from 1 species